UACGGAGGGUGCAAGCGUUGUCCGGAAUCACUGGGCGUAAAGGGCGCGUAGGCGGCUCAUGAAGGCUGUGGUGAAAGUCCGGGGCUCAACCUCGGAUCGGCCGUGGCGACUCGUGGGCUGGAGCACUGUAGAGGCGGGUGGAAUUCCGGGUGUAGCGGUGGAAUGCGUAGAUAUCAGGAGGAACACCUGUGGCGAAAGCGGCUCACUGGACCAUAACUGACGCUGAUGCACGAAAGCUAGGGGAGCAAACAGG
rnacentral:rRNA from 1 species